rnacentral:rRNA from 1 species
AUGAACGCUGGCGGCGUGCCUAAUACAUGCAAGUCGAGCGAACGGACGAGAAGCUUGCUUCUCUGAUGUUAGCGGCGGACGGGUGAGUAACACGUGGAUAACCUACCUAUAAGACUGGGAUAACUUCGGGAAACCGGAGCUAAUACCGGAUAAUAUUUUGAACCGCAUGGUUCAAAAGUGAAAGACGGUCUUGCUGUCACUUAUAGAUGGAUCCGCGCUGCAUUAGCUAGUUGGUAAGGUAACGGCUUACCAAGGCAACGAUGCAUAGCCGACCUGAGAGGGUGAUCGGCCACACUGGAACUGAGACACGGUCCAGACUCCUGCGGGAGGCAGCAGUAGGGAAUCUUCCGCAAUGGGCGAAAGCCUGACGGAGCAACGCCGCGUGAGUGAUGAAGGUCUUCGGAUCGUAAAACUCUGUUAUUAGGGAAGAACAUAUGUGUAAGUAACUGUGCACAUCUUGACGGUACCUAAUCAGAAAGCCACGGCUAACUACGUG